CCACGUCUGACUACCUCCAUUCUUCAGUGGCCCAUUUUCUCUUCCACUCAUCCGAGCAUGUCAUCAGACAUUACCUUAUAUGAUUAUUAAGUUUUUAAUAUAUCUUUGUAUCAUCUCUCCAGGAUUAUUGCGGAUGUCUUGAGCAUGGGACCAUUCUUUUUGCAUCCACCAAAUAACUAUUGUACUACUUUGCAUAUAUAAAUAUGAAAUCCAUACUGGUUCAGUGGAAUGAAGUGAGUUUGGGCUCAAGCAAUCCUCCAGCCUCAGCCUCCUGAGCAGCUGGGACUACAGGUGUAUGACACCAUGCCCAGCUAUUUUUUUUAAAUAAAUGACUUUCUAAGGUAUCUACAUUUAUUCAGUCCUGUGUUUCUGUUAGGACAUCUUCUAUUACAAAAUCUACGAGGAAAUCUAGAGGCCUCCAAGGACCUGGCUGGGCUUCAACUCUGGCUGAGUUUGAGAUGAGUAAACCAGACUGAAGGACCUUGCCCAAGGCCUGCUUCAGCUGCCAGCCACCCACACUUGCUAAGAGAAAGGAAAGGAGCUUUGUCACCUCCUGAGGGACUGCCUCUGCCAUCAGAAAACCACCCCAAUCCCUGGCACCAGCAGAGCUGGGUUGCAUCUGACUACCGUUAGCAGCUGUCCUUCAGAAGGAGGAGAUCCACCUGUCUCGAUAUCAGUGUCCUCAUUUGUGGAAUAAAAGCUCUGGAAUAAGAUCCACCCUGAUUUCAGCGGGCGUUCCUGGGUCUUGUAUGCACUAGGUGCCCUCAAUGCUUGGCAACUGGAAUGGGUUAGCCUGGAGGCAUUUAGGCUGUCCUUCUACAACCACAGAAGAGCCAUCACUGGCAGAGAGAUCCUUGGCGCAGUUAAGCAGAGAUCUUCUCAGAAGAGCUUUUGAAUAAAUGAAGUUGUUCAGAAUGGCCUUGUUAAAAUGACUCACUUGUCAAAAAACUAGAUGUGUUGGAAGGCUGGGUUGGAAGACAAGAUGUCUGAGAAGCUGUCCUGCUGCAUGAGGAGUUUCAUUGCUACACACCUAGUCUCUGGGUCCUGUGUUUUUGGCCUCCAGCUUACUUCGUGAACAUAAUAAAGGAAAGGCAUUUUCUCUUGUGCAUGCUAUGUGUGCAUGUGUGUAUGUACUUGUUGUCUAUGGCUAUUAAUUUCUUAUGUAUACUACUCCCGUUUUGCGCUUACCCAUUGUAUUCUUUGAAGGACACAACUAGAUCGAUGACACUGUAUACCCAUCAUCUCUCCCC
rnacentral:lncRNA from 10 species